UACGUAGGGGCUAGCGUUGUCCGGAAUCAUUGGGCGUAAAGAGCGUGUAGGCGGCCCGGUAAGUCCGCUGUAAAAGUCAAAGGCUCAACCUUUGAAUGUCAGUGGAUACUGCCGGGCUAGAGUCCGGAAGAGGCGAGUGGAACUCCUUGUGUAGCGGUGGAAUGCGCAGAUAUCAGGAAGAACACCAACGGCGAAGGCAGCUCGCUAGGACGGUACUGACGCUGAGACGCGAAAGCGUGGGGAGCAAACAGG
rnacentral:rRNA from 1 species